CCUACGGGUGGCUGCAGUGAGGAAUAUUGGUCAAUGGACGCAAGUCUGAACCAGCCAUGCCGCGUGCAGGAUGACGGCUCUAUGAGUUGUCAACUGCUUUUGUACUAGGGUAAACACCCCUACGCGUAUGUGUCUGAAAGUAUAAUACGAAUAAGGAUCGGCUAACUCCGUGCCAGCAGCCGCGGUAAUACGGAGGAUCCGAGCGUUAUCCGGAUUUAUUGGGUUUAAAGGGGGCGUAGACGGGUGGUUAAGUUAGUUGUGAAAGUCAGCGGCUCAACUGUGGAAUUGCAAUUGAUACUGUCAGGCUUGAGUGCAGUUGAGGUAGGCGGAAUGUAUGGUGUAGCGGUGAAAUGCUUAGAGAUCACGAAGAACACCGAUUGCGAAGGCAGCUUACUAAGCUGCCUCUGACAUUGAUGCUCGAAAGCGUGGGGAGCAAACAGGAUUAGAUACCCCAGUAGUC
rnacentral:rRNA from 1 species